rnacentral:rRNA from 1 species
UACAGAGGGUGCGAGCGUUAAUCGGAAUUACUGGGCGUAAAGCGCGCGUAGGCGGCUUUGCAAGUCGGGUGUGAAAUCCCCAGGCUUAACCUGGGAACUGCACUCGAGACUGCAUCGCUAGAGUAUGGGAGAGGGAAGUGGAAUUUCAGGUGUAGCGGUGAAAUGCGUAGAUAUCGGGAGGAACACCGGUGGCGAAGGCGGCCCCCUGGUUGGAUACUGACGCUGAGACGCGAAAGCGUGGGGAGCAAACAGG